UGGGGAAUAUUGCACAAUGGGGAAGACCCUGAUGCAGCGACGCCGCGUGAGUGAAGAAGUAUUUCGGUAUGUAAAGCUCUAUCAGCAGGGAAGAAAAUGACGGUACCUGACUAAGAAGCCCCGGCUAACUACGUGCCAGCAGCCGCGGUAAUACGUAGGGGGCAAGCGUUAUCCGGAUUUACUGGGUGUAAAGGGAGCGUAGACGGCUGUGCAAGUCUGAUGUGAAAGGCAGGGGCUCAACUCCUGGACUGCAUUGGAAACUGUGUAGCUUGAGUGCCGGAGAGGUAAGCGGAAUUCCUAGUGUAGCGGUGAAAUGCGUAGAUAUUAGGAGGAACACCAGUGGCGAAGGCGGUCUGCUGGACAGCAACUGACGCUGAGGCGCGAAAGCGUGGGGAGCAAACAGGAUUAGAUACCC
rnacentral:rRNA from 1 species